CAAAGUGACAGGUGGUGCAUGGUUGUCGUCAGCUCGUGUCGUGAGAUGUUGGGUUAAGUCCCGCAACGAGCGCAACCCUUAUUGUUAGUUGCCAUCAUUCAGUUGGGCACUCUAGCGAGACUGCCGGUGACAAACCGGAGGAAGGUGGGGAUGACGUCAAAUCAUCAUGCCCCUUAUGACCUGGGCUACACACGUGCUACAAUGGGAAGUACAACGAGUUGCGAAGUCGCGAGGCUAAGCUAAUCUCUUAAAGCUUCUCUCAGUUCGGAUUGCAGGCUGCAACUCGCCUGCAUGAAGCCGGAAUCGCUAGUAAUCGCGGAUCAGCACGCCGCGGUGAAUACGUUCCCGGGCCUUGUACACACCGCCCGUCACACCACGAGAGUUUGUAACACCCGAAGUCGGUGAGGUAACCUUUUGGAGCCAGCCGCCUAAGGUGGGAUAGAUGAUUGGGGUGAAGUCGUAACAAGGUAGCCGUAUCGGAAGGUGCGGCUGGAUCACCUCCUUU
rnacentral:rRNA from 1 species